rnacentral:lncRNA from 1 species
UUUAGGCAACAGCACCAUGCAUGCAGAGCUGGUUUUGCAGGGGCUGGGAGAUUUUGGGAGCACUGAGAGGGAAAAGGAAGGGCAGUGCCAGGGAACACCGUCAGAGAAAAAAUUCAGUUUGUUUUUCCAGGCAGGAAGAUGCUGGCACUGAGCCCUCUCCCCCCUCCUGAUUCAUGAGUGAUGUUUAUCAUUUGGCAGCAGGCAGGCUUUACCCAAGCACAGUGAUUGGAAACUAAUGGAGCAUCUGCUCUGGAGCUUCAUGUACAGUGUUUUGACAGCUGUUUGGUGAUUACUUACAUCAGGCUUAUGAUGACAGUGAACUGUGCAGAGAAACCAAUGAAUGCAAAAAUCCAAAACUUUAGGAUUAAGGCAUGAGGAGCGAAUUAAUCUCCACUGUAACAUAAACGCCUGUGGUGCCAGAUUAAACAUCUGCAUCCUCCCUUCAAACAAAGAGAAGCUAUCAGUUAUUGAACACACCUUAAAAAAAACUCUGGUUAAGACUCAAAUUCUCAGAUGAGUUAAUAAGCCAUGAAUGUAUUUGAGUAUAAAAUCCCAAGAGGUAUCACAACUGUACUUUGUAAUCUACUCUCAAUGCAACACUUUUUGCACUCUCUGUGGUUUGGAAGACACACAUUGCCUUCAUCAGAGUCUCAGGAGGACUUGGCUCCAUUUACUUCAAGCUCUCUUGUGGGUCAAGAAGCUUUAACCUUCUAGACCUACAGCUCUCCCUUCCACAUAUCUCCUUCUGGACGCAUGCUAACAAUAGAGCCUUUAUUCCAAAAUCUUUGCUUUCCUCCCCCACAUAAGUUCUAAUUUCCUGUAUCAGUAUCUGCCCCUCCUUCACGGCCCACACCUUUGCUUUUUUUCUUCCACUUAUGUCACUGAUCCACAAGCACCCAUCUUCUAUUUGUACAAUUGCUGAUAACAUAUCAAUGCACAAGACAGUAUAGGCGACUGCAAGGUAUCAGCUGAUGUGAUUUUCUGAGUUAAUCACAGUUGUAAAACUCUGUCAGAGACUUAAAAAGGUAUAUAAGUAUUUAAGUAAUAAGUAAAGGUACAUACUGUAAGUUACAAGGCUUGUACAAUAAGGCUACUUUUUGACAGAAUUUCACAUUGAUGCCUUUACAGAAUAUCCAAUCACCAUCAGCGACAAGACUAACCAUGGUGUCAGCAGAAAAAAGCAGUCCUUUUUAUACAAUCAAACAUUAAUAAUAAAUGAUAUAUUUGACUGUCAAAAGUCAGAAGGAUGACAUUUUUGUCCAAGGGGCUUGGUCCACAGAGGGCGCCAGACUUGACACAAGCAUUAAGUUCUUCAUAGGAGUUUUAAGGCCGUCAGACUUUAUGCGGAGUAAAGUUCAAUAAAAGUUUAAGCAGCUGCCAGUUGAGCAUGUUGGUAAAAGCUCUGCAGUCUCAUUGUGUUUCGGGUUAUGAUGUAGACGUCGACUGCAAAUGUUUUUCAAUAGUUGAUGCCAGUGCUGGUUAUGAGAGAGCAGGUUGAGCAAUGACCAAUAGAAAAUGCCAACAUCAUGUCAUUUUUUUCUUUUUUGUUGUUUGUUUGUUUGUUUUUCUUAUGUUUUUUUUUCUGCAUAUGUCAAAAUACAGUAAUUUAGAGAUAAUGAAUGAGACACAUGUCAUGUAUCAUUCCAUCAUUUCUUGCACAUUACAGUCUGUUAUUCAUGGUCAUCUUGGCCAGUACCAUAAUUUACAUGGAUUAUUGACUAAUUUAUGUAAUAGUGAUAUGUUUUGAGUCAUGCAAAAGAUUUCGUACAUAACUGGAAUUUAUGUCAGAAGCAAUAUCA